UUUAGAUGUUUAGCUAUCACAUUUAGCUACCAUUCACUUAAAUUACAAACCCUCAUUCUAUUUUCAUCCUAAUUUUUAGACUCCACGCCGCCCCUCUAAGUCUAACCUCUCCACCUUUUGCAAACACUCAUUCACUGGUCAUUUCUUCAUGCCUCUAUCUGCGCAUCAAUCAUUAUUCAUCUAUCUUUUUCAACCUCGCUGGUCAUCUCUUCUUCUUCAACCCUGCAGUAGUCAUCAAUCAUUUGGUCAUCUUUCUUCUUCUCUCUAAAGCAAUAGUUGGUCAUCUGACCUAGUUGUUCAUGAAAUUGUUGGGGAGCAUGUGAGUGUGAUAGAUCUAAUCCUUCUUGUUUCUCAUUAAUACAUGGUGCUUGCACACAUAAUAUGCUCACAGACAUGCUCUGAAUGCGACAACCUGAAAUAGAGAAGUGGCCCGAUGAGAGCGGGAAGUGGAAGCCGGGGUAAAGAUAGGAUGCCUGGACAAUGAACGGCUUUUGGCAGGCUUCAAGGAUGACAUCACUCUAAGUUACGGGGGAACAUGAAUGAAUCGAAUUGCGCAUCAAAAUGGGGCGGGGAAUGGUUGAUAACAUAUAUGUAAAGAGUUGGAACUAAUCACGUGAGGUGCCUUUUAGUUGUUUGGCUGUGGAGUUAUAAAAACUACAAAGUUAAACGUGCUUGGUUUGGAGAAAUCUAAAGAUAGAUGACCUCUUGGGAAGUUCUCGAACCCGCCAAGAGGACAAAACUCUGAGGUUAGUGGGGGCCAAAGCGGACAAUAUCUCAUGUGAUCUAGUUCCAGAUCGUUACACUAAAUAUUUAGAAUUCAUAAAAGUGGCAGUGGUUAGACUUCACAUUUAAGUGGAUUGAAGUAAUUUGGUUCAUCUCUUUUUAUUUCAACGCCAAUGUCUCUACAAUUUACUUGGAAAAUGUUCUUUUGGCCGACAUGAUCUAACUAAAUUUAUGAGAUAAUUUACUUGGCAAA